AUUGAACGCUGGCGGCAUGCUUUACACAUGCAAGUCGAACGGCAGCACGGACUUCGGUCCGGUGGCGAGUGGCGAACGGGUGAGUAAUACAUCGGAACGUGCCCAGUUGUGGGGGAUAACUACUCGAAAGAGUAGCUAAUACCGCAUGAGAACUGAGGCUGAAAGCAGGGGAUCGUAAGACCUUGCGCAACUGGAGCGGCCGAUGGCAGAUUAGGUAGUUGGUGGGAUAAAAGCUUACCAAGCCGACGAUCUGUAGCUGGUCUGAGAGGACGACCAGCCACACUGGGACUGAGACACGGCCCAGACUCCUACGGGAGGCAGCAGUGGGGAAUUUUGGACAAUGGGCGAAAGCCUGAUCCAGCAAUGCCGCGUGCAGGAUGAAGGCCUUCGGGUUGUAAACUGCUUUUGUACGGAACGAAAAGCUUCGGGUUAAUACCCUGGAGUCAUGACGGUACCGUAAGAAUAAGCACCGGCUAACUACGUGCCAGCCGCCGCAGUAAUAC
rnacentral:rRNA from 1 species